GAUGAACGCUGGCGGCGUGCCUAAUACAUGCAAGUCGAGCGAACAGACGAGGAGCUUGCUCCUCUGACGUUAGCGGCGGACGGGUGAGUAACACGUGGAUAACCUACCUAUAAGACUGGGAUAACUUCGGGAAACCGGAGCUAAUACCGGAUAAUAUAUUGAACCGCAUGGUUCAAUAGUGAAAGACGGUUUUGCUGUCACUUAUAGAUGGAUCCGCGCCGCAUUAGCUAGUUGGUAAGGUAACGGCUUACCAAGGCAACGAUGCGUAGCCGACCUGAGAGGAUGAUCGGCCACACUGGAACUGAGACACGGUCCAGACUCCUACGGGAGGCAGCAGUAGGGAAUCUUCCGCAAUGGGCGAAAGCUUGACGGAGCAACGCCGCGUGAGUGAUGAAGGUCUUCGGAUCGUAAAACUCUGUUAGUAGGGAAGAACAAAUGUGUAAGUAACUAUGCACGUCUUGACGGUACCUAAUCAGAAAGCCACGGCUAACUACGUG
rnacentral:rRNA from 1 species